CGUAGUGUGUGCGCCUCGCCCGCCCCGUUCGCCUCCGCCUUCUGCUCUCGCCGCCGCUCCCCCCCCCCUCCUCACUACCACGGGGAGCGAGCGGGAGGAGGAGGAGGAGGAGGAAACAGGGAGAGAGAGGCAGCUCCGGCGGCCCCUGGCGUUCCCCUCGGCGAGGGGAAAGAUGGCGACGCUGGGAAGCGAGCCGCAGCCCUUCCCCGCCGCUGCCCUGGCGGUGGCAGCGGGCGGGGUGGGCGGCGGCGGCUGUGGCGGCGGCGGUGCGUUGGGUCUGCAGCCUCUGAACCGCGGUCUGGAGCGGGCAUUGGAGGAAGCGGCUCACUCCGGGGGGCUCAACCUGAGCGGCAGGAAACUGAAGGAGUUCCCGCGCAGCGCCUCCGCCCUCACUCACGACCUCUCCGACACGGUGCGGGCAGAUCUAUCAAAGAACAGAUUAACAGAGAUUCCUACGGAGUUGUGCCAUUUUGUGUCACUGGAAACACUAAAUCUAUACCACAACUGUAUUAAAAUUAUUCCAGAUGCCAUAGUGAACUUACGAAUGCUAACUUACUUAAAUUUGAGUCGAAAUCAACUUUCUUCUUUGCCAGCUUGCCUGUGUGGUCUUCCUUUGAAAGUCUUAAUUGCAAGCAACAAUAAGCUAGGUUCCCUUCCAGAAGAGAUAGGUCAGCUAAAGCAGUUAAUGGAACUGGAUGUCAGCUGCAAUGAAAUCACAACUUUGCCACAACAGAUAGGCCUGCUGAAAUCUUUAAAAGAACUGAAUGUCAGAAGAAAUUACCUCGAAGUUUUACCCCAAGAACUAGUACAGCUUCCCUUGGUGAAGUUUGACUUUUCCUGCAAUAAGGUGCUUGUGAUUCCCAUUUGUUUUAGAAAGAUGGCACAGUUACAAGUACUGCUGCUUGAGAACAAUCCUUUGCAAUCUCCACCAGCACAAAUUUGUACAAAGGGGAAGGUGCAUAUAUUCAAAUAUCUGACAGUACAGGCCUGUCAGAUUAAAACAGCAGACUCACUGUAUCUUAAUGCCAUAGAACAGCCACAUUUGCCACAACCUGUGGAAGAAAGUUGUUUUCUGUUCACAUCUAGCAUUGAUGACCUCUACCCAAGUAAAAAGGACUCGGAUUCAGGUGUUGGUAGUGACAAUGGUGAUAAGCGUUUGUCAGCAACAGAGCCGUCUGAUGAAGAUACUAUCAGCUUUAAUGUUCCAAUGUCAGACAUCGUGGAAGAAGAUCAGGUUGUAAAGGAAGAUUCAGGUCACCAUGCUAACUCAAGAAAAGUGGAAUUCCAUCAGGGAUCUUCUCACUUGAUUGUCAACGAUAAAUCAAGAGAGACAGGAAUCCGGCUUGAUGAAUCAGAUGCUCUUACUACAGAAUUUAUGAGCUACAUUAAGAGCAGAGCAGCAGAGUGUGAUGAAUUACUGAGAAUUGAAGAGGACGCACAAUGGCAAACAGAAGAAAUAAUAAAUAUGUCAGAAGAACAAACUAUUGAUAUAGCAAUGAUAGAACAACUAAGAGAAGCAGUAGAUUUGUUACAAGAUCCCAACAGAUUAAGCAUGGAUAUUUCAGAAAGCAGUGAUGUGAAUCUGUAUCCCAUGGAACCAGCAACAGCUUUAGAAUUUCAGGAGUCUACAGUAAACAGUCAAAUGCAGAUGGAGAUGUCCUCCCUUGGCCAGAAAGAAAAUGCUGAAGAGGAACUAGAAUUUCAUAGGAGGAGGGAAUUAAUUAUGGAGAAAGCCAAGAAUGAAAUGAAAACAUGUGAACAGGGUGAAAAAUGGUCAUUGAAUCAGAAUGAUGUAAUUGUUUGGAAUACAAGUGGCCAACCCUCUCACAAUGAGAACAAAGAUAAAAGUCCAACGCUGUCUCCUACUACAAACAACACAAUCCCUUUUGGCCUGAAGCCACGAUCAGCAGACCCAUCCCUCAGUCUUCCUCCUGUCUCCUUCAACACACUUACACAGGCACAAACAUGGGACAGCUUUAGCUACAGUAUACCAUCUGAAGGAGACAGUGACAAUGUGUUCUUAAGACCACAAAGAAAUUUGGAAUCAAUAGACCCACAGUUUACAAUUCGGAGGAAAAUGGAGCAGAUGAGAGAAGAGAGAGAGCUUGUUGAACAGCUGCGUGAGAACAUUGAAACAAGACUAAAGAUAUGUUUGCCUGAGGACUUGGGGUCUGCUCUCAUGGAUGGUGUAGUUCUCUGCCAUUUAGUAAAUCACAUUCGACCUCGGUCAGUAGGAAGUAUUCAUGUACCUUCACCAGCAGUACCUAAACUUAGCAUGGCGAAAUGCAGGAGAAAUGUUGAAAAUUUCCUGGAUGCAUGUAGAAAGCUGGGGAUACCAGAGGCUGACCUCUGCUCUCCGUAUGACAUCCUGCAGUCGGAUAUUCGUCACAUUCGAAAGACUGUUGACACUCUGCUCGCCCUCGGGGAGAAACCCCCACAAUCAACUUCUACCUUUCGCUCCUGGGAUCUAUUAGGCUUUUGUCUUUUCCACAUACUUUUUGUAGUCUUGAUGUUUAUAACUUAUCACUGGAAUGUGCUAACAGCAUAACCUGUUCGCAUGUGCACACAAACUUUCUGCUUUGUCUCUGACAAAUUACAGAUUCCAUGGAAUAAUCUUCUUCCUCUGUCUCACAAAGCAGAAUUUAUCUGCUUUAAAACACUUGAAGAUGACUGUAAAUUAGUACUGGGCAUGAGGAACACCUCAUAUGCAAGGCACUUUACAGUAUUUUAGAAUGAAGAUCGCAAAAGACGGUGUGAUACAAUAUGAUGGAGAAUAAACUGUUAGAUUCCUUUAUCUGUCAUUCUUAUGUGUGACAUCAAGCAAGUUUUGUCACUUAUCUUGUCUCUGUUUCAUCACCUGCUGGUAAUGUUUGUUUGUCUGACAAGUGUAGUAAACACAAUGUACCUAGGAAAAUUGUUUGUCUAGGAAGAGUUUAGAUUUUCCUUCUAGGAGAUUUUAAAGAAUGAGGUUAGACACGCUGGUCAGGAAGCCUUUUGGUAUCUUUGAACUCUGCCUAUGGUUAGAGCACUGGACUGAAUGACUUCCAUUUCCCUUCCAGUUCUGUUUUCUGUUAAUUUAUUUGUAAAGCUUGAAUAAGACAAGUACUAAUUUUAUUUUGUAUCAACAUGAAAUACACAAAUGGAAAGUUAGUGUAGGCAUAGUGAGACUUGAAAAUUACAAAGCCUCAAGUGUAGACCCAUAUUUACUACUGCUAGAUGCUACUGAUGAAAUUCUGAGUUCAGUGUCAAGCUAGCUAACCAAAGCAUCUCACUUUUGUGGCUGUGAAAUAAAUAUAUUUGUUUCUCAUGGCUAUUAUAUUAAAAAAUUACCACCUCACUUUUAGGACGUAAUUAGCAUAAGAAAUGAUAUGCUACAGAUUAUUCUAGUAAUAUGAUUAUGAUUUAAGGCUACAUUACAAAUACUCUAAUUCCUUAGAUGUUUGUAAAAAUGUAUUAAAAAGCUUCUAAAUGCAGUUCUAUUCCAGUGUUCUUGGCUUUAAUACUAGAGUGUGUGUGUGCACGUGUGAAAGGUGAAGUAGUUAGGUUCUGUAGGUUGGAAAAAUUACUUUCAGACAGCAGAUAGACACUAAGCCCUUUAUAAAAUCAGUUCUAGCAGCUUCAGUGCAUACGUAUAACGAUUCCAUUAGUGGCUUCUGUGACUUGGCACAACUUCAGUUAAUUCCUGUAGGUUCUUAAUUCCUUUAGGAAUUUUGCUAGUUGUUUUGAGUGCAUAGCUGUGGACUUGUGCCCUCAUCCUGUGCAGAUCUGUCUUCUACCUGUGCACUUAGUUUCAGUGGUUCCAAUAGCAGACACUCACUAAGUUAAGAGUCUGAGAUUAAUGUUUAAAAUUCCUCUUUCAGAAGAUCUUGGUUUUGUCUUGUUCCAACAGUGUUGCUUUUCAUGAAACUGAGAAAGUGACAUAAAUCACUUCAGAGGCUAUUAAUGUAUGACUACUUAUAACCCAGUGUAUGUACUUGAGGCAAAGUCGAUGUCUUCUGUAGGGCUGGAUUUUUACCUGUGCCCUGUGUGGUAAACAGGUCUCCUGUUAAUGCUUUGCGUUGUGCGUUUCCUACGUAGAACCAAUCCAUACGUAUGAGUAUAUUUUAACAUUUUUUGGAAUGAGAAAGUGGCAAAAGUUUUUGCUGCUGUCCUGUGGUUCGUAUCUGUGUCGCUGUCUAGUAUUACGUGGUUAUUCACAGUGCUCAGGAGGUUGGUGAGAAAAAUAACAGAUCAGUCUUGUGGAGGUGUGUCAGCGUAGUCAACUGUUUGUGUGCUUGUGAUGCAUGACUCUCAAACUUAUCCAAAGUCUGAACUGUACGUAUGCUUACCAUGCAGACAGUUGUCUUUAACUUGGAGUACAUUUUCUCACUUUUCUCAGCCUUAACUAUGUACAGCAAUUAAAGUGUAUCAUUACAAGCAAUAUUUGGAGUUACAGAGUUGAAGCCAUCUUGAACCUGACUUGAAAAGAUGUCCAUUGCUCUGUGACAAGCACAGCCAUACAUGCUGUACAUGAAGGUUAUCUGUUUUCUGUGUUUUUUUUCUAGUCAUUAUUGAUAACGCUUCAAAAUACACAGAUCUUAAAGGGAAAGAGGCAGUAAAAUAUAUCCUCACAUUUCAUUAAGAGUGAAUAUAGUAUUAUUUCUCAAAAUAAUUUUAAAGUGUGGUGAAGGUAUGAAAAAUGCCAGUCUUUUCCUCCCUGAAGACAGUAAUUGUAUUAAACGGGGAGGUGGAAGCUACAGCAGGUAUCUAGUCUAGUGGACUCUUUGAUAAAGUCAGAGUCCUACUUCUGUGCUAUUCUUCCUGUGCUGUUAUAUUCAGGCAAUCAAGAGUUCUGCUGGCUGGUGAUUCUUCACCUCUUAGGAGAUCCCAGUAUUGAAAUGUUGUUAUAUAGAGCUGAUGUUUACAGUCAGUCGCAUGACUAAGGGGAUAACUUUGGGCUUUAAAACAACCUAGGCUGUUGUUCAACGUCACGUUCGUUCACCACUGACAUGAAUUACAUUCCACCUUGUGUUUUCCCCAUUCUGUUGUGUUUGUUUGGUUUUUUUCUCCUUGCAGGGUCAGCACGGUCAUCAGAAAUUUUCAAACUGUGAUUUCAUCUUAAGUUUAUCUGCUCAGAUUUGUACUGUGCCCACUGUAUUAAUUACUUUUUGAUGCUCUGGAGAUCAUCACAUCCUUAGUGCAAUAAAGUAAUAAAUGCAAACAAUAAUGGAGUAAUUUUAUAAGAUAUAAUUUAUAUAUAUAUAAAAUUAAUAUGCAUGCAGGUAAAAUAUGUUUGCACUGGAUUACAGCUGGGAUUUUGAUGUGAGGAUUUGGCUUUGUUUUUCCUUGAUCCAGAAAAAAAGAUGAAUAUGUUAAAGUGCAGUGGAGUAGAUGUUCAAAUGCCUUUUUUCUUCACUUAUUAACAAGCUUUUACAGCUGUGAUCUGUUUGUAGAUCCUACCAUGUUCCUAACAAGUUCAGUGGAAGUCUGCACUUAAUGUGAGUGGGAAUUUGACUAGACCCAAGUAAAUACAUAUUCAGUCCAGUCUUCUAUUCCAUAGCCAUAAGUAAGUUUUCUAAUUGCUGUGUAAUUGUUUUUUGACAAAAAGAACUACUUUUUAUAACCUUACUCCUGUUACUACAGAAAAUUAAAGCACUCUUAUCUACAGGUUUAGAAACAGUGGUAGACCAGGCUUUGUGCUCCAUUGUCAUUUCCAGCAUCACGCAUUGUCAUAAUCUGCGUAAUGCAGAAAAGAGCAAUAUAAAAAACAAUAAUCAGGUAAUGAUCCAUUCUACUCGGAUGAUACAAAACAUUCUCAUUUCUUCACUUCAUCUCUUAGAUUUUAAUGUAUAUGGUUAUGAUAUAACUGGCAUCUCCCCUGUGAGUAUACAUUUUCUCUUACUGUUUAAUGUGUGUCUGUCUUUAGUAAACUUCCAGAGCUUUCUGUUUCCUCCAGAUUCAGGUCAGUGUUUUCUUAAUGUGUUAGAACAAAGCUAUGAGGCAUUUUGGCAAAAUAUUAUGUCUACCUUAAAAUCGUGUGGCUGAAGGCCAGAAUUUGUGAAAGGGUCCAAAGCCAUCAUCUGCAAAUGCAGUUUUGUAAAUAUUUGCAAUUUAUUGCAUGUUCAGAAGAUGCACAUAUUUAGAUAUCUCAUUGGCUAUAAUUCUAAGUGCAGAAUUGCAGCUAUAGUAAUGAAGUUCCGGGUUGUUGGUUCAUUUGCGUUUUUGAAUCUGGUCACAAGUGUAUGAUUCAACAAAACGUCCUAAUCUUUCCUUUGGAAAUUAAAAGAAAACCUUGAUGAAAUAUACCUGCAGCCUGGAUUACUGUGCUUUUUGAUCUCCUGGUCUUUUCUGUUGUGUUUCAAAUGGUAACUUCAGGACAUUUGGGCAUAUGCAGACAUCAUCAGUGAGACAUUAACGAAAACAUAUUUGCAAAGAUGUGAUUUCAUACUUAUAGAGCCAUAGAAUCGUAGAAUGGCCUGGGUUGAAAAGGACCACAGUAAUCAUUAAGUUUCAACCCCCUGCUACGUGCAGGGUUGCCAAGCACCAGACCAGGCUGCCCAGAGCCACAUCCAGCCUGGCCUUGAAUGCCUCCAGGGAUGGGGGAUCCAUAUGCCUUCAUCUAACAGAAAUUCAAGACUUACGUGUUUGACAGGUUUGCUUAAAUGUAAGGCUUUCAGUGACUUUCCAUUUCAGAGCAGUUGGCUUCAAGCAUUAAACAGUGAGCAUUGCACGGAGUUAUUUUUAUUUAAAAAGACAAAAGCGUACUUGGAGAAACUACACAUUCCAGUAUUUCAUUAUUUUAUGAGUAUUUUAUUUUUAACUGUUGGUCUGAAUUACAUAUUCUACACAUCUGAGGAAGAACAGAAUGUCUCUUGCCAAAUUUGUAGGAUUCCGUUUCUCUAUUUCUGUUUUUGCUAACAUCAGGGCCCAAGAAUAUUUGUUAUCAUAGUAUAAACAGCUCGCUACUUGCCCUUCUGACAUAAUGGCAGCAGUUACUUUCUUGAUAAUGAACUGCUCUGAGUUGUCAACUGUUUGCCCUAGCAUAAUCCAAUGCAGACAGUUGCUUGACUUUCAAGGCAUCUGAUGUCAAAGAAAAUAGAUGGGUAUGUGUAAAGAGUCACGUACCCUGUGGUGUAUUCUUUGCAUAUUCCUUUUCAAUUUUACACUACUUAAAUCAGAAGUUUUGUUCCAAGAGUAGAAAAUCCCCUUGGCAGCACACAUACACUGGUAUGGUUGUGGGUAUGCUCGUUGUGCUGUCUUUUGGUGUUGCUUUGUGCCUCAACCUGACUGCUGCCUCCUUUUGUGUUUGGAUGGUUUGUUGUUUUUCCAUCUUUUGAUGAGCUUGCUCUUCUGCUUCUUAGGAGUUUGAAAGUGUCUGUUUAAAGUGGUUAUGUAUCUGUAGAAAAUAAUGAAGCUCUUCUGUGCUUGUAGUGAGAAAAUUUGUACCAAAAAUUUGGGUCUACAUUUUAUACUAGACAGAAGAGAGUGGAUUGGCUGCGAGCCUUCCCCUCUGUGAUCAUUUCUAAGCAUUUCUAAACUGAGGAUUAGUAGCAAAUUCCUUUGCCUUUCUGGCUUUGUUCAGGAAUGGUUUCAACGAGGGUAUUUUUAGGAAAGGUGAUUCAUUUUCUGUAUUGAAAUUAUGUGUUCAGUGCUACUGUAAAAUAGGCUGAAAUCUUUUCAAAGGUAGUGGGAGAUGAGUGAAGAUGAGUCAUGUGAAAUCCUUGGAGACAUGGGUUGGUUUUGCUGGUUUAUUUUCUCAGAAUGACGACUUUUGAGAGUUCUGUCAUCAGUGGCUUCCAGUGGUUGAAGGUAUCACUGUGGAGGGUAAGAGAGAAGAAAGCAUGGGAAACAUCCCACAUCACAGGGACAGUGGUGGAGUACAGGGUCUCAGACAACUGGGAUGUUGACCCAGUGUCGUUGUUAUGCAGAAAGUUGAAUUCAUUACCUGAAUUUCAUCCUUGGUAAGAUUUGAUUCUUCUCUAAGAAAAGUUAAAUAUAAUAAGGCGGUGAUUUAAAAGAUAAGCGAGGCAGAGUUGGUGAAAGCUGUUUGCAAAGUUUUGAAGAUAGUGGUUAGUGCUUAGACAAGCAAACUAAUUAAUGACACGCUAAGAUGUAGUUCUUCAGAAGUGGAUGGUACAGGUUUUCACUGAGAGGUUUGGAAAGCUCAUCAUAGCAACAUGCUUAAAUAGCUGCAGAAUUAUACAGUAUAAAUUGAACUUCUUCUUCUUCCUAGAAAAGGAAAGGCUGUCAUUUGUACAUCUUUCAAGAACUAAUGCAGAAUGAUGGAUCAUGUAAGAAGUAACGUCCUGAAUCUUCUGACUCGUAGUGCAUAGUCGUGCAGUUCUAGUUAUUUGUAGACCUUUAUAAGUAGUUUCCCUUGAGUGUACGUCUCGUAAAUACGGCAGAGGGAGGGAGGUUGUUUUUAUGCAAACUGGAUUACUACAGUGUAUUUAAAAGACACAGAUAAUGCAUUCUCUGUUAAAGGAGGAACACCUGUGUUGGAUCAGGUUGUGGGGUUUUUGUGGUUGUUUUUAAUAUGAAGUGAGGCAUGAACUCCUUUCAUGCUUUUAGUUAAAAUAUGUAUAUAAUUGAUUACAAAAAAAGAAAUCUGUUUCUGAUGUGAAAGAAUGACAUGAAAGAAUAGCUCUUAGGAUGCUGUAAGGUAUCAAAAAAUGGCAAAUUUAGAAUUUCUUUUUUUCUGAAGGAAACGUCCUUAAUUCUGUUCUUUACAGCAAAAUUGGCUUCAGUAGAAAAAUGUAGAAUAUUCUCAAACAUAAAUAACUAGCAAGGUAAGUUGUAUUAGUCCUGAGUUUUUGGAUUAAAUCCCUGUCCUUCAGCCUUGCAACGCUAAACUGUUGCUUGAUUCAGCAGAUAUUAAAUAUUAAUGCCUUUUAUCUAGAGAGGAAAACUAAUGAAAUAUUGGCAUGCUGUGUGCCACCAAAUCUGUGAAAUACGACUCUGGUGUGCUUAGGCACUUGAAAGAAGUCUAAAAGUAGACAGAAUAACUUUUUAUUCCACGUGUCAUUUGUAUUCUCAAUAAAUGAAAAAUAUUUUUUGAAAAUUAUCAGAGCCAGAGUAUCUUAGGCUUUUCUUAGAACUUUACCCUGAGACAUUAGAUUGGCAAAAUAUUUUUAGUAAAUUUAUACAAUUGAAGUAGAAAUCUAUUUUACCUUUUAUUUGAUAUCAUUAUUUCUACUUUCUUCUGUAGUUACUCCAGCUAGGUUUCAGUUUAGGAGUUUGCAUACUGAAAAUAUUGUCUUAAAAUGUCUUUAUGUAGUUCUCCAGACAAAAUACCUUCUUCCAGAGGAAUAGAAGGCAAGAACCUUCUCUGAGAGUUUGCAAGCUUGCAGUAUCUCAGUCACAGAAGGGUGAGCAUAAAUGAACUGCAGAAUCAGUUUCUUGAUUUAAGUGAUCAAUUUAGUGAAAGUUUGGAAUCUGAGUGAUUAAUGAGACAAAUGAGUGCAUGAUAGGAGCAUUCCUUUGUGCUGACAGGACAAAUAGCUCCAUCAAAGAGGAGCAUGGUAACGGAAGGUUGGUAAUUUAAGUCCAAAUCCAAAAGCUCAACCUAAUCAAUGUAUGUGUUAACCCAGCACAUUUAGGAAGUUUAGCCCCAGAACAGUGCUGCAUCUUCCAUGUAGAUAAAUGAAUUUUGUCUGUCUAUUGCAGACCUACUUAGCCAAACUCUUAUAAAAUUAACCUCUCUGACAUUGUUUUUUUGGUCUGUAUGUGCAGAAAGUAUUUGCUUGCUAUUUUAGGCUAUCAUCGUAGAAUCACAAAAUGAUUUUGGUAGAAGGGGCCUUAAAGACCAUCUGGUCCCAACACCCUGCCAUGGGCAAUGCCACCCAGCAGCUGAAGCUGCCCAGGGCCCCAUCCAACCUGGCCUUGAGCACCUCCAGGGAUGGAGCACACACAGCUUCUCUGGGCAGCUAUGCCACUGCCUUGCUGCCCUUAUCAUGAAAAAAUUCUUCCUUAUAUCCAAUCUAAAUCUACCCACCUUCAGUUUUAAAGCCAUUACUCCUUGUUUCAUCUCUACAUACCCUUGUAAAAAGUUGUUCCUCAUCUUUCCUGUACACCCCCAUUAGCUACUGGAAGGCCACUAUGAGGUCUCCCCAGAGCCUUCUCUUCCCCAAGCUGAGCAAGCCCAACUUCCUUACCCUACCUGCAUAGGAGAGGUGCUCCAACCCUCUGAUUAUCUUUGUGUGCUUCCUCUGGACCUGCUCCAACAGCUCCAUGUCCUUCUUAUGUUGAGGGCCCUGGAGCUCAUUGGAGUACUGCAGGCAGAUCCUCACGAGAGAAGAGGCCAACCCCUCAGCCUGCUUGCCAUGCUUCUUUUGAUGUGCCCUGAGAUACAAUGAACCUUAACCCAUGAACUUUUUUAAGGGAGAAAAAAAAAAAAAAAGAAAAAUCCAACAACCAAAAAAAGAUGGAUUUUGAACAUUAAAAAAACCCAAAACCUGGAACAUACAGAAAACAUUUUAAAAGUGAGCAUAAAAUACAAAUAAAUUAGUUAUUAGUAGCAGAUGCCAUAGUUGUGGGGAAAAAAAUGGCUCUUUUCAGAUACUGUAGUUAAUAAAUUUUGCAGUUUUGUCUAUUAAGUAGGCUGUCUGUCUUAAGCUGUCCAACAUCCAAGAGUUGGAACAGAUCUGUCUCAAACUAAACACGGAUGCAGUUUGGAUAGGGCUCAAAUGAAACCAUUCUUGAUGAAGGUUUUAUUAGCAAUUACUGUGAAAUUUUUCCUCUUAGAGGAAGAAAAACCUUUGUUGAUGGAUCUCCCUUUGGGAUUUUGUUAUGGUCACAGUUUAGGGCAAAGUGGUUUCAGUUCAGUAUGUGUGAGAUGAAGAACUGCUGUGAAAUGGAGUUGGGCUGAUAUUGUGGUAGAGGGUGAUCAGCGUUCCUCACCAUCAGUUGGGUGCCUCACACGUCAUCAUAGUUACUGUGUUGUGUCUUGGAAUGGAAGUGAAAAGUGAGUUGGUAAUAUUUUCAGAUUCUCUUUUGAAUGGGUUGCAGUGAAAUUGACAAAAGGUUAAGAAAGCCAAGUGUUGGUUGUGCAUGAAGGAGAUCAUGAGAAGAGAUGUUGAAGAGAUGAGCGAUGUCUACAUUGGUGAUAUCUGUAGAGUGUGCAUGUAAGGAAAUGGAACAGAUGAUCAUGGAUUAUAUGGAGAUAAAAUAAGAGACUCUAGCUGACAUCUUUCAGAAGUCAGAAUACUCAGUAGAAGACAGGCAAGCAAUCACAAUGUGAUCUCAGAUGGAUCCAUAAUUUUAGGAACUAGAAGUUUAUUAACAGCUGAAAGAUUAGGUACUGAGAAUAUCAAAAUAACCCUACAUUUGUAAAAACAAAAAAGCAGUAUAUGACUGCUGAUGGUCAUGUGUUGAUGCUAGAGAAAGAACAGAGUAGAUUGCAUACGUGUUGGUUUUUCAAAAUUAAAGUGGCCUAACACGCAGCUCAGGGAGGGGCUUCAUGAGGCAGAUGCUGUAUCCACAUGUUUGUGUUUAAUACUAUUUUAUUUUUCUCUGUGUUUUUGUCAUCCCAUUUACACUUUUGGCUUCCAUGUUGUGACAGUGAGUCUCACAGUUGUAGUUAUGGUUUGUGGUGUAGUCAUUUAUUACGAACCUGGUGCCUGAUUUCACAGUCUCAUAUAUUUCAUUAACAUGAACACCCAGUUACGUUAGAAACCUUACGAUGGAGCCAGUCAUGACAAAGCUGCCUCUCCACGCAAGCCUUUCUGCAGUUAUUCACUGUGGGAUUUCCUUUUACCUGUAGGAGAAAAGUAUUUAUUAUUUGACUGCCUGCUGAUAGAAUAGCCUGUGUGGACAGCUAGUAGGUUUUAUCCUGGUCACAACUGCUGUGUCCUGAUGGUAAAUGAAGUUGAUUCCUGGACAUUUCAAAAUAAACAUCUGAUUACUCGGAACGAAAUGCUCCAUCUGUUGCACGCACACCAUUACACGCCCUUUGCUGUAAAUGCUAAUGGAUGACUUCAAGGUGCACGUCCUGGGACCAAGACCUACCCUCCUAGAGCUCAACAGCAAAACUUUUUUGGACUGAUAAAAUCCUGCCUUCCAUCCCCAAAUAAUGGCCAGAUGCUUUGUUAUCUCACUUCAUAGGCAAAAGCUCAGCGUGUACCUGGCAGCUUUCACUCUCAGUUAAGAUGUUGACGUACAUGUAAUGACCACCAAACACGCUGCUUUCCUGGUAGGCCCAGAACACGAACAGAUUUCACGCUAGUUUAUAGAUCUAAUGAGAGCCAAAUUGAGAGACUUUGUCAAAACCUGGGAAGUUCUUUUGAACUGCAGACAGAAAAAGGUUCCUGCUUGUUGGGUGUUGGUGUGAAGUGAGGGUUUGCAAUGAGUGCUGAGUAACCUGAUCUUUAUCCUUUGUUUGUCUUUUUCUAGGAGAAGCUCUGCCUACCACAUCACAUCCUAGAAGAAAAGGGCUUGGUAAAAGUGAGCAUAACAGUUCAAGCAUUGCUAGAUGUAACCACAGUGAAACAAGCUUUAUUCACGUGAAAC